AGCCCGCACUACUCAUAACUGCACUACCCUCUGCCCACUAAAACCUAAUCAUAACACACACGUCACACUCCAGUGCCGCAGUCUCCAGCCUCCCCUCUCCAAGUUUCUCACACUCCUCAAGCUCCCACCAGAGGCUCACCACACUUUUCGGCGGCGGAUUCCAUCACAUCGCAUUUUGUUCUGCGUCGCUCCUUUUCCAGCGCUGUCGUGGCCUCAAUCCAGCGGCUUCGUCGUCUCUUCGAUUUCAGCCCCGUUGUCUACGUCAUCUCACCAUCCAGCAUCUUUCCGUCUCUCUUUGAUUUCUUCUGUCAUAAGCUUUGUUCAGUGGCUGCUGCUGCUAUUGGUUGCGUUGCUGGCGGUCCUGCUUGAUGUUCUUGUCACUGUCGAUAUGGUCACUGGAGUGAACAAGAUGCUGCAAUUUUAGUACCAGGAGACAUAAUCAACAUUAAAUUAGGAGAGAUCAUUCCGGCCGAUGCUUGUCUUCUCGAGGGCGACCCUCUAAGUGUUGAUCAGUCUGCUUUAACAGGAGAAUCUCUUCUAGUGACCAAGAACCCCACUGAUGAAGUAUUUACUAGAUCAACAGUCAAGAAGGGUGAGAUAGAAGCAGUUGUGAUUGCCACUGGUGUGCACACAUUCUUAAGUAAAGCGGCUCAUUUGGUGGAUACGCUAACCAAGUUGGACACUUCUAGAAAGUGCUUACAGCAAUUGGUAACUUCUGCAUUUUCUCAAUUGCUAAAAACAUAUGAUGACUAUUGAGGAAAUGGCUGGGAUGGAUGUCCUCUGCAGUGACAAAACUGUAACCUUGACAUUGAAUAAGCUCAAUGUUGAUAGAAACUUGAUUGAGGUAUUUGCUAAGGGUGUUGAGAAGGAGUAUGUUAUCCUUCUUGCUGCAAGGGCCUCUAGGACCAAAAAUUAGGAUGCUAUAGAUGCUGCAAUUGUUGGGAUGCUUGCUGAUCCAAAGGAGGCUCAAGCCAGAAUCAGGGAGGUCCAUUUUCUUCCAUUCAAUCCUGUAGACAAGAGGACUGCUCUAACUUACAUUGAUUCUGAUGAAAAUUGGCACCGUGUGAGCAAAGUGGCUUCGG